GAAUUCGAUUCGGUGUGACAAGGCCCGGGAACGUAUUCACCGCGGCGUGCUGAUCCGCGAUUACUAGCGAUUCCAACUUCAUGCAGGCGAGUUGCAGCCUGCAAUCCGAACUGAGACCGGCUUUCUCCGAUUAGCUCCACCUUGCGGUAUCGCGACGGUUUGUACCGGCCAUUGUAGCACGUGUGUAGCCCCAGACAUAAAGGCCAUGCUGACUUGACGUCAUCCCCACCUUCCUCCGGUUUAUCACCGGCAGUCUCCUCAGAGUGCCCAGCAUAACCUGAUGGCAACAGAGGACAAGGGUUGCGCUCGUUGCGGGACUUAACCCAACAUCUCACGACACGAGCUGACGACAGCCAUGCAGCACCUCUACGAGUCCCCUUGCGGGAGCCGGCUUUCGCCGGAUGUGACUCGCUGUUCAAGCCUGGGUAAGGUUCUUCGCGUUAAUCACUA
rnacentral:rRNA from 1 species